rnacentral:pre_miRNA from 1 species
GACAUACUCCCUCCGUCUCAAAAUUCUUGUCUUAAAUUUGUCUAAAUAUGGAUGUAUCAAGUCACAUUUUAGUAUUAGAUACAUCUGUAUCUAGACAAAUCUAAGACAAGAAUUUUAAGACGGAGGGAGUACUUG